rnacentral:rRNA from 1 species
UGAGGAAUAUUGGACAAUGGGCGCAAGCCUGAUCCAGCCAUGCCGCGUGCAGGAAGAAGCAUCUAUGGUGUGUAAACUGCUUUUGUACGGGAAGAAACACUCCUUCGUGAAGGAGCUUGACGGUACCGUAAGAAUAAGGAUCGGCUAACUCCGUGCCAACAGCCGCGGUAAUACGGAGGAUCCAAGCGUUAUCCGGAAUCAUUGGGUUUAAAGGGUCCGUAGGCGGUUUAAUAAGUCAGUGGUGAAAGCCCAUCGCUCAACGAUGGAACGGCCAUUGAUACUGUUAGACUUGUAUUACAAGGAAGUAACUAGAAUAUGUAGUGUAGCAGUGAGAUGCUUAGAUAUUACAUGGAAUACCAAUAGCGAAGGCAGGUUACUACUAAUGGAUUGAAGCUGAUGGACUAAAGCGUGGGAAGCGGA